UACGUAGGGUCCGAGCGUUGUCCGGAAUUACUGGGCGUAAAGAGCUCGUAGGCGGUUUGUCGCGUCUGCCGUGAAAGUCCGGGGCUCAACUCCGGAUCUGCGGUGGGUACGGGCAGACUAGAGUGAUGUAGGGGAGACUGGAAUUCCUGGUGUAGCGGUGGAAAUGCGCAGAUAUCAGGAGGAACACCGAUGGCGAAGGCAGGUCUCUGGGCAUUAACUGACGCUGAGGAGCGAAAGCAUGGGGAGCGAACAGG
rnacentral:rRNA from 1 species